rnacentral:rRNA from 1 species
CUGGCGGCGUGCCUCAGACAUGCAAGUCGAACGAUUAAAGCUCUCUUCGGAGAGUGUAUAGAGUGGCGCACGGGUGAGUAACACGUAAGUAAUCUACCCUCGAGUGGGGAAUAACAACCGGAAACGGUUGCUAAUACCGCAUAAUGCAGCGGCACCGCAAGGUGACAGUUGUUAAAGAUUUAUCGCUUGAGGAGGAGCUUGCGGCAGAUUAGCUAGUUGGUAGGGUAACGGCUUACCAAGGCUACGAUCUGUAACCGGUCUAAGAGGACGGCCGGUCACACUGACACUGAAUAACGGGUCAGACUCCUACGGGAGGCGGCAGUCGGGAAUUUUGGGCAAUGGGCGAAAGCCUGACCCAGCAACGCCGCGUGAAGGAUGAAGUAUUUCGGUAUGUAAACUUCGAAAGAAUAGGAAGAAUUAAUGACGGUACUAUUUAUAAGGUCCGGCUAACUACGUG